GCCAACGCAGUGAGUUCCGCUGAGGAUCAGCUCGGCGGCAUUUGGGUCGCUGGACCAGUACCAGGUGUCCUGUCGGAGGCAAAGAGGGAAGCUCGCGAUUCAUCAGAGUGAAUUAAAAGGAUACCUGAUGUGCACUCGCAGCAAAUCCCAGACCCAGCUGUCUGCACACCACCAUGGCUUCAUUGAUGCCCCAGUUCUCACUGCAGACCGAACCCCAACGCUUGCGGCCGCCCACCUCCAUCAGCACCUCCACUCGACCCUCUGACGGCACCCUGCCGCCAGCCAGACGCACCUGGAAACAAGGCUUACCAUUAUUCACCUUUGAAUGCCGAAGCACAUGUGUUACGGCGGUAUUACAGUAUUGUUCAUACCGUGUACUCUGUGCCAGUUUUAGGAACGUUACAGCGCACGGAAGCAUCCUGGCUAUGUUUGAACAUCCACGGUUGAACCUCCUGGAAGAAGCAGUCGAGGAUGGAUCGUUCUGUCCCCGUGCACUGCACACUGUUCAUGUGGAUGGGUCCACUCCCUGCACAGGCGCCUUGCAGUGCAUCCUUGGCGGUACCGAAGCCCAGCUCUCUGCACACCACGGUGGCCGCCGUCCGCUCCCACAUGUGGUCCACGAUCGUCCCCCACUUUCCAUCUCGGAGGACCUCCACACGACCCUCGCCAAGCCUGG